AACGAACGCUGGCGGCAUGCCUAACACAUGCAAGUCGAACGAUACCUUCGGGUCUAGUGGCGCACGGGUGCGUAACGCGUGGGAACCUGCCCUUAGGUUCGGAAUAACUCCCCGAAAGGGGUGCUAAUACCGGAUAAUGUCUUCGGACCAAAGAUUUAUCGCCUUUGGAUGGGCCCGCGUUGGAUUAGCUAGUUGGUAGGGUAAAAGCCUACCAAGGCGACGAUCCAUAGCUGGUCUGAGAGGAUGAUCAGCCACACUGGGACUGAGACACGGCCCAGACUCCUACGGGAGGCAGCAGUGGGGAAUAUUGGACGAUGGGCGAAAGCCUGAUCCAGCAAUGCCGCGUGAGUGAUGAAGGCCUUAGGGUUGUAAAGCUCUUUUAACCGGGAUGAUAAUGACAGUACCGGGAGAAUAAGCUCCGGCUAACUACGUG
rnacentral:rRNA from 1 species